GGGGUUUUACAGAUGAUCGCCGCUGGUUAGCCGAAAGGUAAAUCCAGGGGAGGAAAGUCCGAGCUUCAUAGAGCAACACAAGGGCUAACGGCCCUCUACCGCAAGGUAAGGAACAGUGGAACAGAAAGAAUAUCCGAGGCAUUGAUCUUAGAAGCGGGAACGGGAGCUUUUAGGGGAGCCGGCGGAGUGAAAACAGCUAAACUCUGUGUGAAGCAAGAUCAAAUAGGGAAGCGUAAGUGAACUUCGGUUUGCUUUAAGCACGGCUCGUGUGAGACUUCCGGGUCAGAUCGCUUGAGCGUUUGAGUAAUCAAGCGCCUAGAGGAAUGGUCGUCGAAUCGUGUGUGAGAAUGUGGCAAUCAGCACGAGGAACAGAACUCGGCUUAACGUAAAACCCCGCCA
rnacentral:RNase_P_RNA from 1 species